AUAAUCGUCCAGGAAUCAUUCCAACCCGCACUCCGAACAGACUGAACAGUUCUGGAUGACAGAGAGAAGUCUCGAUAGGUUUCUCCUGAGUUCGCUCCCGCUAAUGUCCAGAGUGAAACCGGAAGCGGCGAAAUAUCGGAUCACAUCCCUGGUCUAGGAGCCCCAAGCAUGGCACCAACUCUAGCCUCUGUCUUUCAAGUGCUGGCUAAGAUGACCCCAAAUGUGCUGAGCGUUCAAAUGAAUGGAAUUUUUGGAGUAACAUCUGAGACAAAUUUCAUACUUGAAAGGAACAACUGAGAACUGAAUUACGUCUCCUGAGGUUGAAGGAGCAACCAGCCCAGAGAAGCUCAUGUAGAGCAGGUGUCCUCAAGCACCUCAUUCUCACAGAAUGCAGAACGGCAUCCAGAUCCUCUUAUCUGGAGGAGAAAUCCAGCUGCACCUCGGAAAUAUUUGACGGGCUCAGAGGAGCCUGUGAUCAUGUGACUCUCUGAGCGCUCGGGCUCUGAAAUAACAAAGCAUGGGUUAAACAAAGACAAGCGCUAGCAGAUGUGUGGGAGCAGCAGGCUCCGGAUCAGUCAACAGACACGUAAAGCCGCCCGAUUCACUUCUCGAGGUAAAACAUUUGUCAUCCGCAUCCACUCAGAGCCAAGCUUUUGGCAAGCGUCUUUAUCGUUUCUUACCACGUUGCUGCCACACAAAGAAACAUCAUGUAGCUCGCAGGCCUGUAUAAAAGGAAGAAUCACAAAUUAGAUCUUUUUCAUAUCUCAUUUGUUUUUUCCUAAACAAAUAUGAGAUUACAUGGUGAUCAGAUGGAGACUUUUGCUUAAAGGAGUUUUAUUUCAACAAAGAAAUUUUAGCAGAAAGUUGAUACUGACUGCAAAUGAAGGUAAUUGAACAUGUUUUCCUCUAGGGGUCACAGCAAAAAAAAAAAUAGAGAUAAAUGAAGUUUGUUAAAUGAUGCAAAGACCGAUGCUGUUUGAAACUGUUCAUGCUGUUAACAUAGG